AUUGAACGCUGGCGGCAGGCCUAACACAUGCAAGUCGAGCGGAGCGUCGGACGGGUGGGUGAUGCCUAGGAAUCAGCCUGGUAGUGGGGGAUAACGUACGGAAAGGGGCGCUAAUACCGCAUGCUAUCAGAUGAGCCUCGGUGGGAUUAGCUGGUGGGUGGGGUAAAGGCUUACCAAGUCAACGAUCCGUAACUGGUCUGAGAGGAUGAUUAGGCACACUGGAACUGAGACACGGUCCAGACGCCUACGGGAGGCAGCAGUGGGGAAUAUUGGACAAUGGGCGAAAGCCUGAUCCAGCCAUGCCGCGUGUGUGAAGAAGGUCUUCGGAUUGUAAAGCACUUUCAGUAGGGAGGCGUUACCAACAGAAAAAGCACCGGCUAACUUCGUGCCAGCAGCCGCGGUAAUUC
rnacentral:rRNA from 1 species